GCUAUACAUGCAGUCGAGCGGACAGAUGGGAGCUUGCUCCCUGAUGUUAGCGGCGGACGGGUGAGUAACACGUGGGUAACCUGCCUGUAAGACUGGGAUAACUCCGGGAAACCGGGGCUAAUACCGGAUGGUUGUUUGAACCGCAUGGUUCAGACAUAAAAGGUGGCUUCGGCUACCACUUACAGAUGGACCCGCGGCGCAUUAGCUAGUUGGUGAGGUAACGGCUCACCAAGGCGACGAUGCGUAGCCGACCUGAGAGGGUGAUCGGCCACACUGGGACUGAGACACGGCCCAGACUCCUACGGGAGGCAGCAGUAGGGAAUCUUCCGCAAUGGACGAAAGUCUGACGGAGCAACGCCGCGUGAGUGAUGAAGGUUUUCGGAUCGUAAAGCUCUGUUGUUAGGGAAGAACAAGUGCCGUUCAAAUAGGGCGGCACCUUGACGGUACCUAACCAGAAAGCCACGGCUAACUACGUGCCAGCAGCCGCGGUAAUACGUAGGUGGCAAGCGUUGUCCGGAAUUAUUGGGCGUAAAGGGCUCGCAGGCGGUUUCUUAAGUCUGAUGUGAAAGCCCCCGGCUCAACCGGGGAGGGUCAUUGGAAACUGGGGAACUUGAGUGCAGAAGAGGAGAGUGGAAUUCCACGUGUAGCGGUGAAAUGCGUAGAGAUG
rnacentral:rRNA from 1 species